CCUACGUGAGGCAGCAGUGGGGAAUAUUGGGCAAUGGGCGCAAGCCUGACCCAGCAACGCCGCGUGAAGGAAGAAGGCUUUCGGGUUGUAAACUUCUUUUCUGAGGGACGAACAAAGUGACGGUACCUCAGGAAUAAGCCACGGCUAACUACGUGCCAGCAGCCGCGGUAAUACGUGGGUGGCAAGCGUUAUCCCGAUUUAUUGGGUGUAAAUGGCGUGUAGGCGGGAAAGCAAGUCAGAUGGUAAAACGCAGGGGCCAAACCUGAGCCUGCAUUUGAAACUGUUUUUCUUGAGUGCUGGAGGGGCAAUCGGAAUUCCGUGUGUAGCGGUGAAAUGCGUAGAUAUACGGAGGAACACCAGUGGCGAAGGCGGAUUGCUGGACAGUAACUGACGCUGAGGCGCGAAAGCGUGGGGAGCAAACAGGAUUAGAUACCCUAGUAGUC
rnacentral:rRNA from 1 species